GCCAGAGCCAUAUAACCCUGCAGUUCUCGCCUGGUUUCCCACUGAAGAUAAGCAGGGUUGAGCCUGGCCCUGGAUGGGAGACCUCCGGUGGAAAACUAAGGUUGCUGCUGGAA
rnacentral:rRNA from 1 species